rnacentral:rRNA from 1 species
GGAGAGUGCUAACGUUGUUCGGAUUCACUGGGCGUAAAGGGCACGUAGGCGGCUCGGCAAAUCAGUCGUGGAAUCCCGACGCUUACCGUCGGAACGGCGGCUGAAAAUACCGGGCUUGAGGGCGUGAGGGGUCACUGGAACUCCUGGUGAAGCGGUGAAAUGCGUAGAUAUCAGGAGGAACGCCGGAGGCGAAAGCGAGUGACUGGCGCGUUCCUGACGCUGAGGUGCGAAAGCUAGGGGAGCAAACAGGAUUAGAUACCCUGGUAGUCCUAGCCGUAAACGAUGGACACUGAGUGGAGGAGGGCUUGCCUUUCUCUGCUGCAGCUAACGCGUUAAGUGUCCCGCCUGGGGAGUACGGCCGCAAGGUUA